GCGCUAAUGGUCUAACGGCAUGAUACAAGCUUCCCAAGCUUGGGAUUCGGGUUCAAUUCCCGAUUGGCGCA
rnacentral:tRNA from 1 species